AAGAGGCAUUUGCAGACACUUGUGACAUCACAGGAGAAGCUAGGGCUCUCCAGGAUACAAGAGAUUUUUCAUGGAGGGCCUAAUGAUGAAUGUCUCUGAGAACUGCCAUGGCCUACCUGUAAACAGCUUUCUUUACAUUGACCAGUUUCAAGAGUGCCUUUCCAGGUCUCCAGUAUUUCCAAUUCUCCUCCAAAUGUGUUGGAGAAGACCCCUCUGAUCGAGGGGAGGUACAACAAGCCCCAUCAAACAAAAUGGUCUGCACAUCUUCUUCUCUUAAAGGUAAUCUCAAUGAUUUCCAUAUUCCACAAAUGGAUUAAGUCCUGCCCACUCUCUGCAUGAGACUUUAAUACCUUCGCCAACUGCCAAAACUUGGCAGAGAGCUUUGUCCACUCACAAAGACACUCAAAGAUGUCCCCCAUCUCCACCAAAGUGCCUUUUGCAAUCUGCUUCGGGUUAAAUGAGUUGAAAACUGAUUCUGCUGACAACGGGGAUUUCUGAAAUCACUAUUAAUCCAAGAGGAACUUCAAAGACCUCUACUAUUAAAAAAGGACUUAAAUCAUCACUUAUGAUCCAAGGGGGGCAAAAUACAGUCACAAAUCCUCAAGUCAACCUCAUAACACACAUAACAGAAGAGGAGUGACAAAACUUUCUGCAUGUACACCAUUAGAUCAAGAAUGACUGCCAGUUUUUGAAGGGGCUCUUGAGAGUUUCACACCCACACAAGAUAUGUUAGAAAAUUGUGAGUCCACCUAAGGAACUCUUGUGACUUCUUCACAUAAAAAAUAUGAUCUAGCACCCUCACCAUCACCCCCAGUACUUCCAAUGUCCCUAUAAAACAGAGAAAUAUUCAAAUAUCCUCUACCACCAAAAAGGACCCUCCUGACUUGUCAUCAGGCCCAAAAAAGACAAGUUUAUCGUAACACAUUGUCAAUGAGUCAUGCAGACUCCAUAUCGAUACAAUGUACAGAGAAGAUAAAACAUACCCUUCCUCCUCAGGGGACUCUAUGUCAUUCUGUCCUGAAAAGAGGGGCUCCAAAAUUUUCCACAUGUACAUCAGAGAUGCUAGAAUUUCCCAAAACUGAGCAUGAUUCUCUGAGUAGUACUCUAUCUCAAAAAGAGACUGCAGGACAAGAAACAUCUACAAAAGGAAUUCUACCCACGGCCACAUAUUUAGAAAUGGCUUGUGGACACAACACGUGUACAAAAGAUGUUCUAGGACAUAUUGCAUAUGUAGAGAAGGUUAUGGAUCCAACCAUAUAUGAACGAGGAGUAGGGGAACAUGAUAUGCAAACACCAGUGUCUGUAGCAUCCUUGACAUCUGAGGAAAGGGAUUCCUUGGAUUCCAUUUGUGGAAAGAAUGGAUAUGACCUCCGCAAACUUCACAGAUGACUAUAGGAACUUCUUAAUCUCCUCAAGAUCAGCCAUCUUCCCCAACUACAGAAGAUGCUACACACUCUUCCAAAUAUGCACAAAGGGUUUCCAGUCCUUCUUUAUACCCACAAACUGACCCAGAACACCUGCCAAAUACCUAAAAGCCUUUCAAUUUUACCUUAUCUCCUGAAGGGGCCUUGGAACCUGUUUUGCCUAUCAAGCAGGGUAGGGAACCUGACACUUCAAUACUUCAAUAUGAAAGUCUCUUUCCAUUUUUCCUGCAGAGGGAAUUUUUCUUGGAACUUACACAGUUACACAACGAUGUCUAGAAGCUCCUUAUCUGCUCAUGAGAGUCUCAGACCUCUCACAUAUGCCCCUGUUUCUCUAGGAGAGGUCACAUCUCAGAGGUAGCUCUAAUACCUUCCCCCCCCAUUCUGACAUCACACUCAGGAUUUCCACAUAUAUACACGAUACAUUAAGACCUUCCUCAUGUGAGAAGGAUGUCGUAGGAUCUACUGCAUCUGAACAGCAUGCUUUACAACUAUCCCCAUCUACCCAAUUAGAUUUAUUUCACAUGUCCACUCUGUGGAGAAAUACUUGACAUUCUCCGUAUACCAAAUUGGACCACAGGCAUCGAGUUUCUAGAAACAAAGGGUUAAGAUUUUAUCCUUUUGAUGGAGUCUUUAGAAAUUUCUCCUCUAAGGGAGACAGUUUCAACCUUCCCCCUUCUGCCAAAAGGGAUCUUGUGCCAUCUUCUGCUGCCGAAGAGUCACUAAAAGCUACAACUACUACUCAGGUGAGUCUCACACCUUCUCCAUCUGCCCAAAGGGACAUGGAAUUUUCAAAAAAGACUAAGGAAUUGUGGAAAGUUGCCAAUCCUUACAAGGGCAUGCCGGACAUUCCAUAUUGUCCCAAGAUGCUCAAGUAACUCUUCCUUCAACUGAAAAGGCAUGUUCACCAUCUGCCCUAGGUUUCAGGGAAUUUCUUCACCCCUCUCUAGUGCUCCAGAAAGUGUUCUCCAUGCUCAAAGUGAUUUGUCACUGUGCAAAUUAGACUUCAAAGAUACAAAACCUUUUUUUUUAUAUUUACAAAGGUCUGAAGGGCAGUCCACAUCGAAAAAAAAUCAUGUAGACCUUGUGCCAUUAGCCCAAGUAUAUAAAAAAAUUUUCCAUGUCUUCUAAAGCAUCUUAACAUCAACCUGGCUCUAGCACUCAUUCUGGGAAACAUUUACCAUCAGCCAUACAAUCCCCAGGACCAUCAAAAUCUAAUAAGGGGUAUCUAGAAACUUUGCCAUCUGGCAAAAGGUCUUUAGGAUGUUCAGCAUCUUCUCCAUGAGCUUGGUGAACCCAUAGAACAAAAGAAUUAAACCAUCUUCCCAGGGUGUUUUCCCAAGAUCCACAUAUUUCUUGUUUACUUUUAUACCAAGAUAGAAGGCCAGCUUCCUUCUCCCCAUCUCUGAUAUCUUCAUCCUCUUUGUUCUCCUCCCAAAUGGCUGUUUACUCUGAACAGAAGGCUAAUUGGUAAAUCCUAGAGGUACUGAAGGAAUUUCCGAGGUGCAGUUGAAGACACGACAAUACUUGUGACAUCACAGAAGAAGCUAGGGCUCUCCAGGAUGUAAGAGAUUUUUCAGGGAGGGCCUAAUGAUGAUAUCACUGAGAAUUGCCAUGGACUACCUGCUGAACUGCUUUACUAACAUUGAGUAGAUUCAAGGGUGCACUUCACAGGAGUGUCUCCUGUGACACAGUGGAAAACUUUACAUACUUGAUCUCUAAAGCUAGGGAAUUCUCUUGGCUUCCUUAAUGAUUACAUGCUCUGAAUGGUGAAAGAUAGCUAGGGACUUGGCAUGGGUAGAAAAGAUUUAGGAACCUAGAGUGGAGGAAAUUAAUGUGGAUAAUAAUUUUAUUCCCAGGUCUAGUUCAAUUUUCUCAGAUUUAUCUGUUUCCCAAACACUAGGAUUUUCCCUAUAGUCCUGUAAUGGAAUGAAUAUUAUAUUAUAUUUUCUUAUUGUACAUUCCACGAUAGGGGACUUUAUAAUAUUCCUGAAUGUGUACUCAAAAAUUCUUUUUUCCAAUUCCAUUUCUGCAAUGAUUUUUGGCAACAGAGGUGGCCCAAUUAUAGAAUGAGCAUAACAGUGUAAAUGCUGUAUACAUACUUCAAUGACACACUCCCAAAUCCUUAUUUUAUCCAAAAAUUACCAGAUAUUAAUAAAGGAAAGUACCACAUGGACUAUUUAAUUCGUUUCUCUAGUCCCACUUGAUAUCAGUUCCGCAAUAUCUACUUUCCUGUGUUUCAUUGCCAUACUUGAGGGUUUUGGAUAUUUUACCAUGAUUCAUUAUUAAAGUCAAACAUAAGAUAUAGGAGGAUGGAAAGUGAGAGGAAUGACUUGAGAACCAGUGAAGCCUCAAUAUAAGUAGUUUCAAAAGAACAAGAUGGAGUCUAAUUGGUGUUGCCAUUUGUGGAUUCUACAGUCUUGACCUAGAUGCGCAGAAUUCAUGUUAAAAUUCCUGCUAAAAUUAUAGCUGUAGGAGCCAACAAAAGUACAUAUAUAUACAUCAGCCACCGAAACUACACAAGAUUGAUGGAGGUAAGAAAUGCAUUCUGUCAGAUAUAGAUAUUUCCUGAGAGACACAGCUAGAUUAUACAAAUACAGAAGUGAAUGCUAGUGGCAUACCAGUAAACUGGAAAUGGACUUCUUGUUUUUAGAUUUUAAAAAAAGAUUACAAGAGCUGAAGGGCUUUAACACUACAAGAACAACAAUGCCAAUGAACCAGAGCUUUCUGAUACUAGAACAAUAUUCAAAGAAUGUACAUGGACAGAGUUAUGGCUCCAACUGCAUAUGUGGAAGAGAAUAGACUUGGUGGGCACCAAUGGAAGGAGAAGUCCUUGGUCCUCCCUAGGUUUGACUCCAAGUUCAAGGACCUUUUCUUCUUGCGAAAAAGUGUAAAGGUCAUGAGUUCUCAGGAAAACAACUGUGCCCUUCACAACACUUGGCUUUUGGAAUAAAGAAAUAAAUGAUAUAAACCCUUUGACUUCCAGGAACCAUAAGAACAGGGAAGUCUACAAGCUUCUAAGAGCCUCACAGUUCCUUAUUCCCUUAUAUAGAAGCUCAGAUCAAGGCUAUCUCUUCAGCCAUCCCACUCAACCCCUACCAAGGGCUCUCUGAGUUUUCCAAAGGACCACAUAUUUCUUCCUUGUUUUUUUAUACCAAGAUAGAAGGCCAGCAUCCUUCUACCCAUUUCCAAUCUCUUCAUCCUCUUUAUUAUCACUCCCCAAUUUCUCUGAAUUAAAUGUCAAGCAGUAACCACUUUCAAAGUAUGUCUCCUGUGACACAGUGGAAACCUUUAUGUACUCCAUCUGUCUAAUUCUAGAGAUUUCUCUCUGCUUCACUAGUGGUUUCAUGUUCUGAAUGGAGAAACUUGUUCAGGGGCUUGGCAUGGGUAAUAAAGAUGUAGGAACAUGGA